UCCCCUAGUAACGGCGAGUGAAGCGGGAAGAGCUCAAAUUUGUAAUCUGGCACUUUCAGUGUCCGAGUUGUAAUCUCGAGAAGUGUUUUCCGCGCCGGACCGCAUACAAGUCUGUUGGAAUACAGCGUCAUAGUGGUGAGAACCCCGUAACUGAUGCGGAUGCCCGGUGCUUUGUGAUACACUUUCGAAGAGUCGAGUUGUUUGGGAAUGCAGCUCAAAUUGGGUGGUAAAUUCCAUCUAAAGCUAAAUAUUGGCGAGAGACCGAUAGCGAACAAGUACCGUGAGGGAAAGAUGAAAAGCACUUUGGAAAGAGAGUUAACAGUACGUGAAAUUGUUGGAAGGGAAACGAUUGAAGUCAGACUUGUUAUCUGGAGUUCAGCCUUUCGGUGUACUCUCCAGUUUACAGGCCAGCAUCAGUUUUCGGGGCGGGAAAAUCGUAAUUAGAAGGUAGCAGCCUAGCUGUGUUAUAGCUUUUUACUGGAUUCCGCUUUGGGGACUGAGGAACGCAGUGUGCUUUUAGCAAUACCCUCGGGUAUUUCACACUUAGGAUGCUGGUGGAAUGGCUUUAAACGACCCGUCUUGAAACACGGACCAAGGAGUCUAACAUGCUUGCGAGUAUUUGGGUGUCAAACCCGGAUGCGCAAUGAAAGUGAAUGAAGGUGGGAUCCGCAAGGUGCACCAUCGACC
rnacentral:rRNA from 1 species